UACGAAGGGGGCUAGCGUUGUUCGGAAUUACUGGGCGUAAAGCGCGCGCAGGCGGUCUUCCAAGUCAGUGGUGAAAGCCCGGAGCUCAACUUCGGAACUGCCAUUGAAACUGUUAGACUUGAGGACGAGAGAGGUGAGUGGAAUUCCCAGUGUAGAGGUGAAAUUCGUAGAUAUUGGGAAGAACACCGGUGGCGAAGGCGGCUCACUGGCUCGUUUCUGACGCUCAGGCGCGACAGCGUGGGGAUCAAACAGG
rnacentral:rRNA from 1 species